rnacentral:lncRNA from 1 species
CCGUGGUCACCCGCAGGGACACGGAGGGGCCAGGCAGAGCAGCCCUAGUUCACCUCACCGGGAGCCCCCGCCAGAAGGUGGGCACCUCUGGGAGGGAGGGACUGCCAGGCCUUGGGGCUUCCUGUGCUGAGUCAGAGCUGGAACGGGAGACGCAGGAGCCCCGCAGCCGCGGGAGGUGCAGAUUUGGGGCUGCCAGGUGGCGCCAGGUCCCCUUGGCCAGCCCCCAGCGCCCCUUUCUUCUGUCCCCAGGGCCUCGGCUUCACAGGAUGGGGCUGCCAGUGUCCUGGGCCCCUCCUGCCCUCUGGGUUCUAGGGUGCUGCGCCCUGCUCCUCUCGCUGUGGGCGCUGUGCACAGCCUGCCGCAGGCCCGAGGACGCUGUAGCCCCCAGGAAGAGGGCGCGGAGGCAGCGGGCGAGGCUGCAGGGCAGUGCGACGGCGGCGGAAGCGCAAGUCGGACACCAGACUGCACGAGCUGCACCGGGGCCCGCGCAGCAGCAGGGCCCUGCGGCCUGCCAGCAUGGAUCUCCUGCGCCCACACUGGCUGGAGGUGUCCAGGGACAUCACCGGACCGCAGGCAGCCCCCUCUGCCUUCCCACACCAGGAGCUGCCCCGGGCUCUGCCGGCAGCUGCAGCCACCGCAGGGUGCGCUGGCCUCGAGGCCA